CAGAGCACUCCUACGGGAGGCAGCAGUGGGGAAUAUUUGCGCAAGCGGGCAGGCAAGCCUGACGCAGCGACGCCGGCGGUGGGGGAUGACGGCCUUCGGGUUGUAAACCUCUUUCGCCAGGGACGAAGCUUUUGUGACGGUACCUGGAGAAGAAGCACCGGCCAACUACGUGCCAGCAGCCGCGGUAACACGUAGGGUGCGAGCGUUGUCCGGAAUUAUUGGGCGUAAAGAGCUCGUAGGCGGUGUGUCGCGUCGGCCGUGAAAACUUGGGGCUUAACUCUGAGCGUGCGGUCGAUACGGGCAUCACUUGAGUUCGGCAGGGGAGACUGGAAUUCCUGGUGUAGCGGUGAAAUGCGCAGAUAUCAGGAGGAACACCGGUGGCGAAGGCGGGUCUCUGGGCCGAUACUGACGCUGAGGAGCGAAAGCAUGGGGAGCGAACAGGAUUAGAUACCCUGGUAG
rnacentral:rRNA from 1 species